rfam:Asian citrus Psyllid, Diaphorina citri - Florida Strain, whole genome shotgun sequence.
GCCUAGUUAGCUUGAAGGGUAGCGCGUCUGCCUUGUAAGCGCUAGGCAGCGGGUUCGAUUCCCGCCCGGGGCG